UACGGGGGGGGCAAGCGUUGUUCGGAAUUACUGGGCGUAAAGGCUCGUAGGCGGCCAACUAAGUCGGACGUGAAAUCCCUCAGCUUAACUGGGGAACUGCGUCCGAUACUGGAUGGCUUGGAUUUGGGAGAGGGAUGCGGAAUUCCAGGUGUAGCGGUGAAAUGCGUAGAUAUCUGGAGGAACACCGGUGGCGAAGGCGGCAUCCUGGACCAACACUGACGCUGAGGAGCGAAAGCCAGGGGAGCAAACGGG
rnacentral:rRNA from 1 species